rnacentral:misc_RNA from 1 species
AGAGCAAACCCCACCUUCAGGCUUCAGCUCCUGCAAAGCUCACCAUAGCUCAUGGCCUUAUCUUCUCUAAGCUCUUCUGCAAUCCUCACUGCCUUCCAAUUCUCCACUAACUUACCAAUCCCCAAACUCACCACGACCACCACCACCAACACCACGACCUUGUACUUCUCUUCCAAACCCACCAACAACCAAACCAAUUUCUUGAACCUUUCAAGCAAUGAUAACUCGAGCUUUGAUAAGUGGAGAGCUACUGUUUCUUUCUUUCCUGCCUUCUUGAAAAAGGGCAAGGAUGCUAAGGUCCUCAAAGAAGAGCUUCUUGAAGCAAUUGCUCCUCUUGAUCGUGGAGCUGAGGCUACUCCUGAAGACCAGCAGGCAGUUGAUGAGAUUGCGCGCAAACUUGAAGCAGUUAAUCCAACAAAGGAGCCACUCAAAUCUGAUUUACUAAAUGGGAAAUGGGAGCUUAUUUACACUACUUCACAAUCAAUUCUGCAAACCCAGAGACCUAAAUUCUUAAGAUCCAUAACAAAUUACCAAGCAAUUAAUGUGGAUACACUUAGGGCCCAGAACAUGGAGUCUUGGCCAUUCUUCAACCAGGUAACAGCAGAUUUAACACCUUUGACUGCAAAAAAGGUUGCUGUAAAAUUUGAUUUUUUCAAGAUUGCAGGUCUGAUACCCGUUAAGGCACCUGGAAGAGCUCGUGGUGAGUUGGAAAUUACAUAUUUGGAUGAAGAACUGCGGUGAGUGAUAUUACAAUUCAUAUGGACUUGAAAUUGAUCAAUUUUAAAGUUCCUCACUUGCCUUUUGUUUUCCCUUUUGUGCUAACUGUUGAUUGAUUAGGCACCUGAUAUCCCAACUUAGUGUUAAGAUGACAACUUUCCUCAAUAAUGGGUUAAUUAGUUUGUUCAGGUAGAACACAUUGAACUACCUGCAGUGCAAAAUUUUGAACUGAUUAACAAGACCCAAAUCACUAUAUAACCCGUGCAUUCGAGUCCUUGUUGGCACAUCAAGAAUCAGAUGUUACUAGCUAUGCCUACUUCCUCUCAUAUAUAUGGAACAUAUCUUGAUAAGAAUAUCUGUCUUAUUUGACUGGUCUCUUGUAAUCAGCUUGUCAUUCUUCUAAAGAUGGAUUCUUUUCAAUCUCCCUUCAUUAUCCCGUGGUCAGUUAAAGUUCUGUUGAUAAAUCAGUAAAGUGCAUAAUUGACCUAUCUGAAUGCAAUGUAUUUCAUCUCCAAAUUUUCAAGUUCCAAAGCACAUCUGGAUGUCUAUUCCUUAGGUUAUACUUGGAUAAUGUAUCUUCUGUUUCUGUUGCAAUUAUAUAGCUAGAGUCCCUUGUAUUCUUCAACUGAAAUAUGUUGCAUUUUACUUCAACAGAAUUUCCAGGGGUGACAAAGGAAAUUUGUUCAUCUUGAAAAUGAUUGAUCCCUCUUACCGUGUACCUGUCUGAUGUGUUGAUCACAUUGAGGCACUGUAAUCUUUUGGGUAGUCAGACAAUGAGAAUGAAAAGCUUACUGCAGAUUUUACUCAGACAUCCCUUAGCUUCGUUUGUUGUAUAAAAACGGUAUAGAAAACAGUUUUGCUUGUUAGCUUUCUUUUUUUCAGGCCUGCAAGUUUUGUAUACGGACGUGCCGACUCGUUUCCUGUAUAUACAUUUACCAUUUGUGAAGCUGUAAAAUUCAGAUGACUGAAUAUAUUUAUUGUUAUGAGAAAUCAGAUAGGAAAAUCUUUCACUAUUUCCCUACACAUUGGUUUGCAGAGGCUACCCUUGCCUUUAUUUUGCGAAUGCGCAUAAGAACACGAGACUGUGUUAUGAGACUAUUCAUACCCCUCUCUCCCUCAUUCUCAUAUUCUUCCUUCAUAGUUCACAAAGGUUGAGAAGGCAAAGUUUCUAUGACUUGAAAUAUAACAAGAGAAAUUUACAUAUUUAAUCUAAUAUUUAUGUGGAUUGUCUCUGCCUUUGAUUGAAUUGAAGCUGGUCUAGCAUUCCAUAAUCGAUUAUACUCAAGUAACGAUAUUCUUUUUAAUGCAGAUCAACCCUAUGUGAACAAAAUCCUCCAGUUUUCAUUUAUACAAAUUAUGAAAAAUAAUAGUUUUCAAAUAAUAAUUUGAUUUUCUAAUUCAUUGCAAUAUCUGUCCAGUACUUCAUAUUCAAAAGACAGGUGUCUUAAAGACAAUGGACAGAGCCCCUUAUCCACAAUCUGAAAAUACCAACGUUCCAAAAGAGAGGAAAAAAAGAAAUCCUUGACUACACCACCUGCUGCCAUUAAUGGCCAUCACGUCUUCAUCUGCGAACCUGAAAACACCUCUUUCCUCGGCUGAACUCGGUACUUCCCAUCCUCCACAAACUAUUCUCUCAUCAAAAUCUCUCUCCUUAACUUCAAAACCCAAUACCCAAAUCGAAAUAAGCUCUAGCAACAAGGACAAGCUUUAUGCCUCUGCUGAUUCUUGGAAAUGGAGAACCAAAGUUUCCUUCUUUCAGGGCUUUUUGAUAAAGGAAAAAGACGUUAAGAGCCUUAAAGAGGAACUUCUUGACGCCAUAGCUCCCCUUGAUCGUGGAGCUGAGGCUACACCAGUGGAUCAAGAACGCGUUGAUGAGAUUGCUUGUAAACUGGAGGCAGCGAAUAAGGUGAAGGAACCUUUGAAGUCUAAGCUGUUGAAUGGAAAAUGGGAGCUUAUAUAUACAACAUCUCAAUCAGUUCUUCAAACAAAGGUUUGAAUUAUCCCCAACUUUUGAUUUGUCAACAUGUGCUCACAGCUGUUUAACAAAAAUCAUUUCUUUGGAUACAAAUGGUGUCUACAUUAUGCAUUGAUUUGUACCGUAUCAGUUUAUUUUCCUUUUACUUGGAUCCUGCUUUUUUGCUGCUGCGUAUAUUUUUACAUGAUUUUAUUACAGGUGAAUCAAAUCUUCCACAGUUAUUGUAGCAACAGAAAUGUAAUGAUCAGAACAAAUUUUUAGACAUGAACCUGUGCGCUCUAGCUCUAGAUUAUAUUGGAAUAACGUUAUCGUUGUACCAAAUCGAUAGUUAUGGAGGGCUAUUCUUGGACAGCAUGCCUUUUCUGCAGACAGAGUGUGUCAGACACUACAUUACCUGGCACGACUCUGUGAAGGUGCAGGAUAAGAUUCUACAGAAACAUAAGGCAGGUUAAAGAUAUGUCUGCUUAGACAAAAUGAAAUUGCCUAAAAGCAAAGCAUUUAACAGUAGAUUGCUCAAAUUAGCUUGGGAUUGCUACGUUCAGCAGAUUAUAAGAAAGGAGCACAAGACUUCAUAUCAUGACACAAAUCUUCAUGCUAAACUUCAUUCAGAGAGUAGAAAUCUAGCCAUGGCCUGCAUGACCUUUUUUAGAACAAAUUCUUGCAAUAAUAUGAUAAUAAUAUUCUUGUAACAGAGGCCAAAGUUGUUAAGACCAAAUGGAAAAAUCUACCAGGCAAUUAAUGUGGAGACUCUAAGGGCUCAAAACAUGGAAACUUGGCCAUUCUUUAAUCAGGUGCUUCGUCUCAAACACUAUCUUCCUGGAACUGUUUGCUUCUACCAGAAUUUUGGUUUCCUUUUGUUUUUGUUAUUGUCAUUCCAGCAGUCAUGGUAAGUGCUGAUCUUGGCUAAUUAUAAAUUUCAACUUCUAAUUCAAAUAUUAUGUAUGCCUUUCUUCUUUUGUACUUUAUCAUUAUUUAUUUAUCUGUUGCAGAAAUUGAAAGUUAUGCGUUUAUCCACAGGUCACUGCUAAUUUAGUACCUCUAAAUUCAAGAAGGGUGGCUGUUAAAUUUGACUUCUUUAGAAUUGCUGGUCUGGUAUGUUAUAUAUAUAUAUUGCAACUCUUUGUGUUGAAAAUCUGUGAGCAAAGGUCUUCAGCAAUCUUAAAGUAAAAUUUCUGAGAUUUCUGCAUCACUUUCUUUGCUUAUUUCAAAUGCUCUACAGAUACCUAUUGCGUCGCCUGGAAGUGGCCGUGGUCAGUUGGAAAUCACAUACUUGGAUGAGGAGUUACGGUGAGUAGUGUAAAGGGUUUUCUUUUUGUUCACUUAAUAGGUUUAUCAAAGAGGUUGGUUUAGGUGUUUAGAUAUCUAUUAGUUAUUGGCAUCCACCAGCUGAACCAAAACACUCCCUUAAUUCUGUUAUGAGAAAAUUAUUCUUUUCUUUACAUUUUUUCCAGAAAGAAUAUAUAUAACCAAUUACUUACCGCAUUCUGGUUCCUUAUUGCAGAAUUUCAAGAGGUAAUAGAGGAAAUAUGUUCAUUUUGAAAAUGGUGGAUCCAUCCUAUAGAGUCCCCCUCUAAGGUCAUCGCUAUCGCUAUUGAAUAUAAUCAUUGAAGUAAAAUUGUAUAAUGAAUCUCAGUCAAUUAUAUUAAAAAAUUUAUAGAAUGCGAAAAACUUUUUGAAUUUUACCUUACUACGUCCAAAGUUACACUAUAAGCUCCUUUAACAUUGUUGUAGGAAAGUUAUAAUCGAAAAAUUGAGAUGAACUGUUUUAAUUCGAUUUUUUAAUUUAAAUAGUUUGGUUAUUUAAAAAAAAUUGAUUUUUU